UUGAGGCAAUCCUCCUGCCUCAGCCUCCAGAGUGUUGGGAUUACAGGUGUGCACCACCAAGUCCAGCUCUCAAGCUCACUUUAGAGACACAGAAGUCUCUGGACAAAAAUAGCAGAAUGGAUGCGACCCCAGUGACCUGCACCGCUGUAGAUGCUUUGGUCACUUUCGGGCUUUAGGCUGAGAAGCUGGCACUCAGAAUGACCUUCUCAUUGAGCUAGUCCUCACCCCUGCCUUCUUUUUAAAAUUCUGAGACAGGGUUACUGAAUUACCCAGGCUGGGCUGAACUUGCCAUUCUCCUGUCUCAGCCUCCCAGUGUGCUGGGAUGACAGAUGUGCACCACUACGCCAGGCUCCUUCGCUAAACUUCUGUUGGAACUGAUUCUACUUCUCUAGGUUGUGAAGCUAAAUCAGUGUCUAGUCCAUCAAAUCCAGUAACAUUAAUUACAUCCUUGUGAAAAAUAAGGCCUGUGGUGUAGAUCUAUCUCGGGAGCUUAAAUUAACCACGGCUGAAAAGCCAUGUCUCUCUUUUUUAAAAAGGGGAUUAUUGACUGAUUCAGAGGGCUGCAAUGAUUUUAUUUAUUUAUUUUUGGUACCAGGACUCAAACUCAGGACCUUACACUUGCCAGGCAGGUGCUUGUGCCGCUGAGCCAUAUCCCAGGCCCACGGUCUCUUCUUAAGAGGGAGAAUCUAAUGGCGGCGUCCGUGCAGAGGAGCGGUGGCUGAGCUGAGCUUAAAAGGCCGGGCUUGUGGCGCAGACAGGUCGGGGCUUGAACAGGGACCUUUGGUUGUAGGAAAAACAUUUGUGCAGGGAGGAGAUGAGAAACUUCGCCUCACCCAGGGUUCCUGUGGUCGCUGUCACUGGGGAAAGUCACUCGCGGGGGAGGCUGGAGCCUCCCUUCCUAGGCGGCAUCAGAGAGGCAGUGGCCAGUGGGCGUGCUGCUGUUCCGGCAGGGGCUGCCUCCCUCCUGACUCAGCCUCCCGUGCCCACAUGCAUCUCUCGGAGCCGAGCCCGUGGCCCGCACAAUGUGGCAGGCGACCCGCCUGUGCUGGCUGCUCUGCACCCGCUUGGUUUUAGCAACCAAGGCUGGGGUCCCAGGAGCACCCUCCAACCGUCACUGCAGAGCUGGGGUCGGCUCGGAGUCCCAAGGCUUCUGGGCUGACGCUGGACCCCAUGGGUUUGAAGAAUGGCAAAGGAGAGGGUGAAGAAGCCCGGGACGUUUCAGGACAGAGGGAGAAGCGGAAGCAGAGGUUUCCCAUGAGCGUGAGCUGAGUGUGGGAGCAGCCCGUUCCUGAGCAAUUGCAGCAGGCAGCAGGAAGGUUCUCCUCCCUCAGAACAGCGAGCUGCCGGCUCGAGAGCACAAGGGUCUCACCAUGUAGCCCAGGAUGGCCUGGAACUCAUAGCAAUCUUCCUGCCUCAGCCUCCUGAGUGCUGCGAUCAGAGGUAUGUGCUCUGUGCCUGGGUGCCUCCCCUGACCCUGGAGAGUGACCAACGUGGUCACAACCAGACAUGGCAAAACCCUGGGCGGAGGGAAGACCAGAGACAGUCCCGGGGUGUGCAGAGGCUGAUGUACAACCUGGAAGAAAGGUGGCCCCGAGUUCUCCAGAGUCUCCAGAGAGCAACUUCAAAGCCGUGCCUAUUUAAUUUUCUUUAGGUCCCCAGGAAUUCACUCGCCAGCCAGGUGUGGUGGCUUAGGCCUAUCAUCCCAGCACUCUGGGAGGCUGAGGCAGGAGGAUUGCAAGUUUGAGCCCAGCUUGGGUAAAUUAGGUUACCAGGUCCUGGUGUUUGGGGGUCUUCUUGCAGAGGUGGCUUCCAGGUUCUUGCCUUGAGCAAGGAGUUGGACCAAACGAGCACAGAAGGCAGCGAGGUUUUACGUUCCUAAAGGUUGGAAUAAAGACACGCUGCACAGAUGGAGGAGGCCCAGCUAAGCAGGGGAAGGAGCUGACCGCAGGGAGAACAGGGGCUCUGCGGAGGAGUGCAGAGGAGCUCUGAUGACCUCCUGCCACUGCCCACCCACCGCCCAAGACAGGUCUGGGCACCCAAGCCCAAAUCCCCUGUUUCUGCAGCAGCCGACACCAGUGCUCUGGUUGGCUGCAGAUGGCGGCUCCGUGGGUCUCUGUCCAGGACUUCGUAUUCGCAGGUCUGGCCCACCUUACCAGCCAGCGUUCCUGCCCCCAUCUCCUGCCUCAGUGACUUAGCCAGACCCUGUCUCAAAAUAAAAAAUUUAAAAAGGGCUGGGGA